rnacentral:ribozyme from 1 species
CACCCCGCAAGGCCGACGGCAUCCGCCGCCGCUGGUGCAAGUCCAGCCGCCCGAAAGGGCGGGCGCUCAUGGGGAA